rnacentral:rRNA from 1 species
UACGAAGGGGGCUAGCGUUGCUCGGAAUCACUGGGCGUAAAGCGCACGUAGGCGGAUCUUUAAGUCAGGGGUGAAAUCCCAAGGCUCAACCUUGGGAACUGCCUUUGAUACUGGGGAUCUCGAGUCCGGAAGAGGUUGGUGGAACUGCGAGUGUAGAGGUGAAAUUCGUAGAUAUUCGCAAGAACACCAGUGGCGAAGGCGGCCAACUGGUCCGGAACUGACGCUGAGGUGGCG